AUUGAAAGGUAAUAGAACUUGACAACCAGAUCCAGACCAGACAAACACAACCUGGCAAACUGGUGUCAUAAGGUUACUGGCAGGUAUAAAUAAACACGAGGAAAAAUCUAAUAAAAAGAGAGCGAGCUGAUCAAGGGUUUGAAAAGAUAGAUAUUGCCAGAUGUUUACUGUCCAAGGAACAGGCCGUGGAAGCUUUAUUGCUGGCAAAAGUGUCCAUAACCAGAGGUUAUAUCAGCUGUUUUGGUCAACCCCUCCCACAUCUGAACUGACUGACACAGAGGGCACAGCAUGAUCAUAGGUGAGAUGUUACUUGGUCGGGUUAACAGGAAGUAUUAUUAAAAAUAUGCUUUAUAUUGAAAUACAGACAGAGAUGUAGCAGUCCCAGAGUUAAUGAUCCAAGGUCAGUUUUGCAUUUCACCGCCUGGUUAAGAUGACUGACCAUGUUAGAAUAAAAUAAAUAAGGCUUAAUCAUGUUCUCUCUCUAUCCAUCUGUCACUCGUCUGCAGAUAUAUUUUGAUGUGAGAGAGGAAGCCAGUCCCGUCAUCGCCAGCUCACCCGCUCUUAAGAUAUCUUUCGGGCCAAUUGGGGGCCCAAGGCUGGUCAGGACAAUUGUGAUGAACUGAGAGAAUGUUAGGGUAUCACUGUAAUUCAUGAGUCAUAUGCUGUCUGCCGCUGUUCUUACCUCUUUCCCUCUCUGUCUUCUACACCUCUCGCCCCACCUCAUCUUUCUUCCUCGUUUUAUAAUGCACACCACAUGUGCAUUGAAGUACAGAUUGAACUUGUAUUUAUAAUAUAGUAUUACAAUUAUCAUAAUUAUUAUGCAUUUAUGUAACUUUUUUCAAUAUAGCAUUUCACAUUCACCACUGUUUGAAAUUAAAUAUCUCAUUGAAAUAUUAUCCU